rnacentral:rRNA from 1 species
CGGGUGAGUAACGCGUGGGCAACCUGCCCCGCACUGGGGGACAACAGCCGGAAACGGCUGCUAAUACCGCAUAUGCGCACAGCUUUGCAUGAAGCAGUGUGGAAAACUCCGGUGGUGCGGGAUGGGCCCGCGUCUGAUUAGCUGGUUGGCGGGGCAACGGCCCACCAAGGCGACGAUCAGUAGCCGGCCUGAGAGGGUGGACGGCCACAUUGGGACUGAGACACGGCCCAGACUCCUACGGGAGGCAGCAG